GAUUUCUGGUUUGACGACAAUCUGGCCCGCCAGGUUCGCCUGUGUGUGUGCCGGGUUGCGUCUGCCAUCCUUCUAAGUUGCUGUUGGCCGCCCUUGAUUGGGUGUGCUGGUAGUGGCUUAGAUCGUUGACUUUGAACAAAUUAGAGUGUUUCAGGCAGGCUUUAUUGCUAUGAAUACAUUAGCAUGGAAUAAUAAUCUAGGACUUCGGUUCUAUUUUGUUGGUUUCUAUAACUGAAGUAAUGAUUGAUAGGGACAGUUGGGGGUGCUAGUAUUGGCCGGCCAGAGGUGAAAUUCUUGGAUUCGGUCAAGACUAACUUAUGCGAAAGCAUU
rnacentral:rRNA from 1 species